rnacentral:rRNA from 1 species
UACGGAGGGGGCUAGCGUUGUUCGGAAUUACUGGGCGUAAAGGGUUCGUAGGUGGCUUGCUAAGUCAGACGUGAAAUCCCUCAGCUUAACUGGGGAACUGCGUCUGAGACUGGUGAGCUUGAGUGCAGGAGAGGAACGCGGAAUUCCAGGUGUAGCGGUGAAAUGCGUAGAUAUCUGGAGGAACACCGGUGGCGAAGGCGGCGUUCUGGACUGCUACUGACACUGAGGAACGAAAGCCAGGGGAGCAAACGGG